GGGUCAGUAGGUUGGUCGUGCCACCGGUACGUACUGGUCUCACUGGUUCCUCCUUCCUGAAGAACCGUAAUGCCAUUAAUUUGGUGUUGCGGGGAAACAGGACUGUUACUUUGAAAAAAUUAGAGUGUUUGAAGCAAGCUAACGCUUGAAUACAUUAGCAUGGAAUAAUGAAAUAGGACGAUCGAUCCUAUUUUGUUGGUUUCUAGGAUUGACGUA
rnacentral:rRNA from 1 species